AUACGUAGGUGGCAAGCGUUGUCCGGAUUUACUGGGCGUAAAGGGAGCGUAGGCGGAUACUUAAGUGGGAUGUGAAAUACCUGGGCUUAACUUGGGUGCUGCAUUCCAAACUGGGUGUCUAGAGUGUUGGAGAGGAAAGUGGAAUUCCUAGUGUAGCGGUGAAAUGCGUAGAUAUAUGGAGGAACACCAGUGGCGAAGGCGGCUUUCUGGUCUGUAACUGACGCUGAGGCUCGAAAGCGUGGGGAGCAAACAGGAUUAGAUACCCUGGUAGUCCACGCCGUAAACGAUGGGUACUAGGUGUAGGAGGUAUCGACUCCUCCUGUGCCGCCGUUAACACAAUAAGUACCCCGCCUGGGGAGUACGGUCGCAAGAUUAAA
rnacentral:rRNA from 1 species